rnacentral:rRNA from 1 species
CCUACGGGUGACAGCAGUGGGGAAUAUUGCACAAUGGGGGAAACCCUGAUGCAGCGACGCCGCGUGAGUGAAGAAGUAAUUCGGUAUGUAAAGCUCUAUCAGCAGGGAAGAAAAUGACGGUACCUGAGUAAGAAGCCCCGGCUAACUACGUGCCAGCAGCCGCGGUAAUACGUAGGGGGCAAGCGUUAUCCGGAUUUACUGGGUGUAAAGGGAGCGUAGACGGCAGUGCAAGUCUGGAGUGCAAGUCGGGGGCUUAACCCCCGGACUGCAGUGGAAACUGGACGGCUUGAGUGCAGGAGAGGUAAGUGGAAGUCCUAGUGUAGCGGUGAAAUGCGUAGAUAUUAGGAGGAACACCGGUGGCGAAGGCGGCUUACUGGACUGUAACUGACGUUGAGGCUCGAAAGCGUGGGGAGCAAACAGGAUUAGAUACCCGAGUAGUC